rnacentral:rRNA from 1 species
AGUGAACGCUGGCGGCGUGCUUAACACAUGCAAGUCGAACGAGAACGGAAUAUAGCUUGCUAUAUUUGUCAGCUAAGUGGCGCACGGGUGAGUAAUAUAUAGAUAACCUGCCCUUAAGAAAGGAAUAACAGUUGGAAACGACUGCUAAUGCCCUAUAUGCCUUUAAUACAUAAGUAUGCAAGGGAAACGCUUUAGUGCUUAAGGAUGGGUCUGUAUGGUAUCAGCUUGUUGGUGAGGUAAUGGCUCACCAAGGCUAUGACGCCUAACUGGUUUGAGAGGAUGAUCAGUCACACUGGAACUGAGACACGGUCCAGACUACUACGGGAGGCAGCAGUGGGGAAUAUUGCACAAUGGACGAAAGUCUGAUGCAGCCACGCCGCGUGGAGGAUGACACAUUUCGGUGCGUAAACUCCUUUUAUAUAGGAAGAUAAUGACGGUACUAUAUGAAUAAGCACCGGCUAACUCCGUGCCAGCCGCCGCGGUAA